AUUGAACGCUGGCGGCAGGCCUAACACAUGCAAGUCGAACGAGUGGCGGACGGGUGAGUAAUGUCUGGGAAACUGCCAGAUGGAGGGGGAUAAAUACUGAAAACGGUAGCUAAUACCGCAUACCAUCAGAUGUGCCCAGAUGGGAUUAGCUUGGUUGUGGGGUAACGGCUCACCAAGGCGACGAUCCCUAGCUGGUCUGAGAGGAGGACCAGCCACACUGGAACUGAGACACGGUCCAGACUCCUACGUGCGGCAGCAGUGGGUAAUAGUGCACAAUGGGCGCAAGCCUUAUGCAGCCAUGCCGCGUGUAUGAAGAAGUCCUUCGGGUUGUAAAGUACUUUCAGCGGGGAGGCGUUACCCGCAGAAGAAGCACCGGCUAACUCCGUGCCAGCAGCCGCGGUAAUAC
rnacentral:rRNA from 1 species